GCAUUCUAGUACUUCCCACAGGCUGUGUUUUUACACUAACUAUAUAGAAAGAAGAGAGGGAGUGAACCCACCCCAUAUACACCCCAGCCUGGACCCUUUGCCUGGUAUGUGUUGUGAAAGGGGGCAAGGGG